rnacentral:rRNA from 1 species
AAAUUGAAGAGUUUGAUCAUGGCUCAGAUUGAACGCUGGCGGCAGGCCUAACACAUGCAAGUCGAGCGGCAGCGGGAAAGUAGCUUGCUACUUUUGCCGGCGAGCGGCGGA